UACAUGUUAGAGUACUUAAUACAUACCAAUACAUCUGCUGGAGAGGUUAGGUCAUACAUGUUACAGUACUUAAUACAUACCAAUACAUCUGCUGGAGAGGUUAGGUCAUACAUGUUACAGUACUUAAUACAUACCAAUACAUCUGCUGGAGAGGGUAGGUCAUACAUGUCACAGUACUUAAUACAUACCAAUACAUCUGCUGGAGAGGUUAGGUCAUACAUGUUACAGUACUUAAUACAUACCAAUACAUCUGCUGGAGAGGGUAGGUCAUACAUGUCACAGUACUUAAUACAUAACAAUACGUAACAAUACAUCACAUGACAAUAUAUACAGUGUAUCGGGAAGUAUUCAGACCCCUUGACUUUCCCCGCAUUUCGUUACAGCCUUAUUCUAAAAUGGUUUAAAUGAAAUGUCCUCAUCCAAUCUACACACAAAAUCUAAUACGUUUUUGCAGCACUCCACCAAAUCAGGCCUUUAUGGUAGAGUGGCCAGACGGAAGCCACUCCUCAAUAAAAAGCACAUGACAGCCCGCUUGGAGUUUGUCAAAAGGCACCAACGGGACUCUGACCAUGAGAAACAAGAUUCUCUGGAUCUGACAAAACCAAGAUUGAACUCAUUGGCCUGAAAGCCAAGCGUCACAUCUGGAGGAAACCUGGCACCAUCCCUACGGUGAAGCAUGGUGGUGGCAGCAUCAUGCUGUGGGGAUGUUUUUCAGCGGCAGGGACUGGGAGACUAGUCAGGAUCGAGGCAAAGAUGAACGGAUAAAAGUACAGAGAUCCUUGAUGAAAACCUGCUCCAGGGCACACAGGACCCGAGACUGGGGCGAAGGUUCACUUUCCAACAGGACAAAGAUCCUAAGCACACAGCCAAGACGAAGGCGUGGCAUAGGGAAAAGUCUUUAAAUGUUUUUGAUUGGCCCAGCCAGAGCCUGGACUUGAACCUGAUCGAGCAUCUCUGGAAAGACCUGAAAAAAGCUGUGCAGAGACGCUCCCCAUCCAACCUGACAGAGCUUGAGAGGAUCUGCAGAGAAGAAUGGGAGAAACUCCCCAAAUACAGGUGUGCCAACCUUGUAGCAUCAUACCCAAGAAGACUUGAGGCUGAAAUUGGUCGUCCUCCACCAAACUUUACAGUUGGCACUAUGCAUUCAGGCAGGAAGUGUACUCCUGAUCUUAGGCUUGUGUGCGGCUGCUCAACCAUGGGAACCGAUUUCAUGAAGCUACCGACGAACAGUUCUUGUGCUGACGUUGCUUCCAGAGGCAGUUUGGAACUCUGUAGUGAGUGUUGCAACCGAGGACAGAGUACGUGCUUCAGCACUCGACUGUCAUGUCCUGUGACCUCGUGUGGCCUACCACUUCGCGGCUGAGCCGUUGUUGCUCCUAGAUGUUUCCACUUCACAAAACCAGCCCUUCCAGUUGACCGGGGGGGGGGCAGCUCUAGCAGGGCAGAAAUGUAACUGACUUGUUGGAAAGAUGGCAUCCUAUGACGGUGCCACGUUGAAAGUCACUGAGCUCUUCAGUAAGGGCCAUUCUACUGCCAAUGUUUGUCUAUGGAGAUUGCAUGACUGUUUGUUCAAAUUUAUAUACGCCAGUCAGCAAUGCGUUUAGCUGAAAUUUUUAUUUUUUUAUAUUACCUUUAUUUAACUAGUUAAGAUCAGUUAAGAACAUUCUUAUUUUCAAUGACUGCCUAGGAACAGUGGGUU